AACUGGGAAUUUCAUCCCUCUUGGGUGUGUGUGUUUUAGCGUGUUUUGCGCGCGUGCGCACGUGUAAGGUGAAUCCACACUAGGUCAGCAGCAGUCAUCCUCGUCAGUUUCGCUAUAAGGUUCGUGUAGUGCUUUGCGUGAUCCUGUCCCACGCGACUUGGCUGGUCCAUGCGAGUGAUAGUAUCCAUUGGGUAGCCGCCGCCCGUGCCUGGAGGGGGAAAGAGAGGACGAGCCGCCGCCCACCCGGGAAGUUCUGGGCGAACGUCCUGAGCUGCUCCCGUGCUGCAUUGUCUCGUAGGAGAAGGCUUCCUCACCUGCUGGGCCGGCGUAGUCCGGACUCCGAUAGUAGCCACUGCCGUGACGAGGUCCCGGGUGCGGCUCGGAGACGUGGGGGGCCGACCACCGGCUGCUGGCGUGUCGAAACUAUUUUUGAUGUGCUGCACAUACAGAUUCUCCAGACAGAACAUGAUCCUUGCAAUUACCCCAUGACAGGAGAAUGUCCCAGGUUCAACCAGUGGCAUCUCCAGGUAAAAGGAAUAGGUGGCAGGUGAUGGAAAAGACCUCUGGCUCCGACUCUGGAAAGCCAUUUCCAGUCACAGUAGAUAACACUGGACUCCAGUCGACUCCAACUGAUGGCGACCCUAUGAAUAGGGUUUUCAUGUACUUGGCUGGAGAACCGCACUGCAAAUUUGGAUAAAUGCGAAUUUCAAAGAAUGGCUGUGUUUCGGUUUGCAUAUUGUUUCGGAAAGUGCAGAUCAGGUCGUUUUUCCUUUAAAUGCAGACUGAAUUGAAUUUCUCAUCCAUCCCCAGUUACAGGAAGUUACACCAUUAUGGAGGCAGAAGCAUUGUAAAGGCAUGGGUGUCUGUUUUAAGUUAUUCAAAGAGGUCAAAAGAACCAUUAGAAUAACUAUAAAAAUGUUUAAAAGAUUCUUUUAUGAGCAGCCAGAAAGGCAUGAGCGAGCAACCCAGACUGCAGAAUCAGCUGCAACCCAUAGGCAGAUUGGCGGAUGGAACCGAAUACUUGACCCUGACAACUCUUGCUCUUACGCAGAAAGAACUCUACCUGGCCAUGUGUCCUGUUGCUGGCCUGUGUAUAUGUAACCGAUAAUGAGUAUAUACCUGUACUUCUAAGCUGUAGUUAACUGGCUGCUGUACUGAAGGUGAAUAUUGUCUGCCUAGCAUUAAAGUCAGAACUAAAAAAACAGGCUUUUAAACCAACACAAAAUGCUAUGCAGAUCUACAUCAUAAAUGCCCAAGUCUACUAGUUUCACUUCAUUUCCAGAUGGAUAAUUUCUCAAGUGUCAAGCACACUAGCACGUGCAAGCCAUGUGCCAUGGGUUCCAAUUACAAUACUAGUCCCCUCUAGCCCCAAUUGCAGGUUGGUGAACUAGCAAGCACAGCAUGGCUCGCAUAGCCCAAAUGGUGGACUGAAAAAGCCUAUGCAACUUGACACCUCUUUGUUAUGCAGUACUGUUUCCUGUACUUCGACUUUAGUACUAAAUUGCUUACAUAACCAGCUCCUGCCAUCUGGAUGCAGCAUGAAGUGGCCAUGCCUGCCCCAUAGUUAUGCAGAGUUGUGUGGAUCAAAAGUGACUUCUAGGACAGACAUGGCAGAAAAACACCACUCAUGGUUUGUUAAAAUUAAUCCAACAAUUUAAAUUAAUGAUGAAAAAUGCACUGCAGGUUAGCACUCUAGCUGCACACUGGCUAAAGACACAAUUCAAUUUUCAGAGAAUGGGCAUUUAUAAAUCCCAUUCAGGGCCAAACCAGAUGUAAUGUUAUUCACUUUAACUCCACUGUGCUUGCUUUAAAAAAAAUAAAUCACUCACACGGCUAUUUUCCUCCUAUUUCUGGGAGGAAGGUUGGGAUAUAAAUCGUACAAAUAAAUAAAUAGCCCAAGCUGGAUAAGAAUGGUUGCAUGGUGGAGGGGGCAAUGGAA